rnacentral:tRNA from 1 species
CGGUAGCUCAGCUGGCAGAGCAACGGACUCUUAAUCCGUGGGUCGCGGGUUCAAAUCCCGCCCGG